rnacentral:rRNA from 1 species
GAUCAUGGCUCAGGAUGAACGCUAGCUACAGGCUUAACACAUGCAAGUCGAGGGGCAGCAUGGUCUUAGCUUGCUAAGGCCGAUGGCGACCGGCGCACGGGUGAGUAACACGUAUCCAACCUGCCGUCGUACUCUUGGACAGCCUUCUGAAAGGAAGAUUAAUACAGAUGGCAUCAUGAGUUCGCAUGUUCACAUGAUUAAAGGGUAUUCCCGGGUAGACGAUUGGGGG